AGUGAACGCUGGCGGUAGGCCUAACACAUGCAAGUCGAACGGCAGCACAGUAAGAGCUUGCUCUUACGGGUGGCGAGUGGCGGACGGGUGAGGAAUACAUCGGAAUCUACUUUUUCGUGGGGGACAACGUAGGGAAACUUACGCUAAUACCGCAUACGACCUACGGGUGAAAGCAGGGGAUCUUCGGACCUUGCGCGAUUGAAUGAGCCGAUGUCGGAUUAGCUAGUUGGCGGGGUAAAGGCCCACCAAGGCGACGAUCCGUAGCUGGUCUGAGAGGAUGACUAGGCCAACUGGAAAUGAGACACGGUCCCGACUCCUACGGGAGGCAGCAGUGGGGAAUAUUGGACAAUGGGCGCAAGCCUGAUCCAGCCAUACCGCGUGGGUGAAGAAGGCCUUCGGGUUGUAAAGCCCUUUUGUUGGGAAAGAAAAGCAGCAGGUUAAUACCCCGCUGUUCUGACGGUACCCAAAGAAUAAGCACCGGCUAACUUCGUG
rnacentral:rRNA from 1 species